rnacentral:lncRNA from 1 species
AUUAGUUCUUUGACAUAAUCAUGGUCAUUGACUUUAUAAAUUUGUAAGCAGGACUGUUUGUUGGUCCUUACUGCUUGAAAAUGGAACCAUUAUAUUUGUUUAUUGAGAGUGUAUAUGAUUAGGAUUUGAUUUUUUUGAUGUUGGAGGUUUGAUCUUGCUUUCUUGACGACUUAUUAUGCCCAGCUGUUUCAAGUUUACUGAACAAAAUCCAGUUGUAUUUAACGCAUUAGUGAUCGGUUUCUUCCAAAAUAUUAAUUGUGAGUAGUAAUUUGUUUAUUGAUAUGAUUAGCACUAACCUUUUUUGUUGUUGACGACAUUUUUCAGAGAUAAAUCCUAUGGGACAAGUGCCAGCUAUUGUUCAUGAUGAUUUUAAGCUAUUUGAGAGGUAUGAUAUAACCCUGUUUUGGUGCGCUCUUUCCCCCCCCACGCAGAAAUUUGUUAUUUUAUUGUACAAAUUGAG